rnacentral:rRNA from 1 species
UACGUAGGGGGCGAGCGUUGUCCGAAGUUACUGGGCGUAAAGCGCACGUAGGUGGCCCGUUAAGUUACAUCUCAAAGGCAACAGCUCAACUGUUGAGGGUGGUGUAAGACUGGCAGGCUUGAGGCGAGCAGAAGAAUGUGGAACUCCGAGUGUAGCGGUGGAAUGCGUAGAGAUUCGGAAGAACACCCAAGGCGAAGGCAGCAUUCUGGGCUCGAAAGUAUUCAGAAAUCCUUGAGGUGCAAACCAGGAGGAAAGUAGGAAUACAGCCUGACACUGAGGAGCGAAAGCCAGGGGAGCGAACGGG